UACGUAGGGUGCAAGCGUUAAUCGGAAUUACUGGGCGUAAAGCGUGCGCAGGCGGUUGUGCAAGACCGAUGUGAAAUCCCCGGGCUUAACCUGGGAAUGGCAUUGGUGACUGCACGGCUAGAGUGUGUCAGAGGGGGGUAGAAUUCCACGUGUAGCAGUGAAGUGCGUAGAGAUGUGGAGGAAUACCGAUGGCGAAGGUAGCCCCCUGGGAUAACACUGACGCUCAUGCACGAAAGCGUGGGGAGCAAACAGG
rnacentral:rRNA from 1 species